CAACUUUCCACAACGGAUCUCUUGGCUCUCGCAUCGAUGAAGAACGCAGC
rnacentral:rRNA from 1 species